rnacentral:misc_RNA from 1 species
GAUGAAGAACGUAGCUAAAUGCGAUACGUAAUGUGAAUUGCAGAAUUCAGUGAAUCAUCGAAUCUUUGAACGCAUAUUGCGCUCUCUGGUAUUCCGGAGAGCAUGCUUGUUUGAGUAUCAGUAAACACCUCAACUUCCAUAUCUUUUUUGAAAUGGGAGUUGGACUUGAGUGAUCCCAACGCUUUUCCUCACCGAAAAGUGGCGGGUUACUUGAAAUGCAGGUGCAGCUGGACUUUUCUCUGAGCUAUAAGCAUAUCUAUUUAGUCUGCCUAAAAAACAGAUUAUUACCUUUGCUGCAGCUAACAUAAAGGAGAUUAGUUCUUGUGCUGACUGAUGCAGGAUUCACAAAGACGGCUUCGGCCGACUUUGUAAACUCGAUCUCAAAUCAAGUAAGACUACCCGCUGAACUUAAGCAUAUCAAUAAGCGGAGGA